rnacentral:rRNA from 1 species
AACGAACGCUGGCGGCAGGCUUAACACAUGCAAGUCGAACGCCCCGCAAGGGGAGUGGCCGACGGGUGAGUAACGCGUGGGAACAUACCCUUUCCUGCGGAAUAGCUCCGGGAAACUGGAAUUAAUACCGCAUACGCCCUACGGGGGAAAGAUUUAUCGGGGAAGGAUUGGCCCGCGUUGGAUUAGCUAGUUGGUGGGGUAAAGGCCUACCAAGGCGACGAUCCAUAGCUGGUCUGAGAGGAUGAUCAGCCACAUUGGGACUGAGACACGGCCCAAACUCCUACGGGAGGCAGCAGUGGGGAAUAUUGGACAAUGGGCGCAAGCCUGAUCCAGCCAUGCCGCGUGAGUGAUGAAGGCCUUAGGGUUGUAAAGCUCUUUCACCGAUGAAGAUAAUGACGGUAGUCGGAGAAGAAGCCCCGGCUAACUUCGUG